GGAUUCGACAUACUAGCACUAAUGCAUUAUAUCCAGUCAGAACUCCAGAAUCGUGUUUCAGUUAGAGUGGUAUUAGGAUGGGUGACCCCCCUUAAAGUCCACGUGUUGCAUCCC
rnacentral:rRNA from 1 species